rnacentral:rRNA from 1 species
UACGUAGGGUGCGAGCGUUGUCCGGAAUUAUUGGGCGUAAAGGGCUCGUAGGCGGUUUGUCGCGUCGGGAGUGAAAACACCGGGCUUAACUCGGUGCUUGCUUUCGAUACGGGCAGACUAGAGGUAUGCAGGGGAGAACGGAAUUCCUGGUGUAGCGGUGAAAUGCGCAGAUAUCAGGAGGAACACCGGUGGCGAAGGCGGUUCUCUGGGCAUUACCUGACGCUGAGGAGCGAAAGUGUGGGGAACGAACAGG